UUGGAUUAUAAGCACGUUUCCGGAAUUAUGCUCGCAAACCAAGGAAUCACUGUAAAUAUAUAUGUGUGUGUGUGUCUUUCCCUUGCUGUAUCGCAUCCAGGAAGAUCAAUGCUGUCAUUCUCACACAAACAAGAUUGGAAUGGGACAAUGAAACCCCUGUGUCAGAUAACUUAUCAAGUAAUGCACCUCCUGCCCUAGUGUUACAUUGGCAGCUGUAAGAGGAAGAGAAAGAGGCCUUCUUUGUGAAACAGAACAACAGGUAAAGCAAAACAGAUAACACAAGAUAGAUCAUUUCCUGUGGCUCAUCAUGUAUAUUUGUGAACAUUCACUGAUUUCUGUAAUGCAUCACUGUUUCAUAAAAACAAGUCUGACAAUGUGUUUUGUGCUUCACCUAUUAAAGAAGUAGCUCUUAUUGUUACAGAAUGUAUGUUGUGAUAUGACAGCUGUUAUGGUCCAGUAGGGAGUGGUCAGCACCAUGCAGGUGAACAAUAACCACGGUAUCCUCACUGUCGACUUCAAGAAGAGCCAAUGGGGCACGGCUGGCAAUUAAAGAUUGCCCCAAUCAGGGGGCUGGGGAGUCAUCCCCGGCUGGGCUUAAAGCCUAAUCUGUAAAGAAGCCACAGCAGAAGAAAAAGGGAAGCCAGUUUUGUGUGUGUACUUUAGGUGGAUAUCCGAGGUUGAUCACCCAGAAAAGAAUGCCACUUCCUGCUUGCACAGGGAAUACUGGAUGCCCUAUUUAUAGAGUUUCCUCAAUAAACCUUUUUCACUUGAGAGGCACUGGUCUUCUAUGCCCACCAUUUUCUAUAAUCAUUUGUCCUACACUAGGUCGCAGGGGAGUCUAUCCCAGAAGCUCUGGAUGCAAAGCAAUUUAUAUACACAUUACUAUGCAAACGUUUUAGGCAGUCGAAGAAAUUGAUGCUUAAGGUUCCUGAAAUAAAAAAAAAAGUGUUUAUUCCAUUUUCCAAACAUCGGUCUUCACUCAUUAACACAAUUCUGCUAUUGCUGCUGUGGUCAUCCAUGCGUGCAUCCAUGCAUUUACAUAGCCACCUGGACUUCUCGUUGAGUGGCUGCAGUACUUGCCUGCAGUAGUAACAGUAGAAUGUUUUUUGCAGUAACCCUGUUAUUGACCACGUUGCCACACGCUUAAGGUGCUUUUCCACCCCACCAAAUACCAUACUUUUGGCAUGGUGGUUUUGGUGUUUUCGCUUAUCCACUGACUUCCAGUCAAGUACCAGUACCAAAAGUGACAAAGUAAUUCGGUACUUGGGGUGGGACAAGACUUUGUCUAUUGGUUAUGCAAGUAGCCUGCCUCUGAAACAUAAUAUAAGCGCCACCUUGAAAACAGUUGCAAACUCAGAAAACAAGUAUUUUGUUUAACAUACUAGGGGAGCACACAUAUAACGAGUUGUCCUAGCAAUGUGAUUUUGAUGUAAUAAAUAUUGGGGUAUUUAGAAAACAUAAACCCGUCUUUGAAUGAUUUAAACAGCAAGGAUGAAAAUGAUUAUGAAUGUUUCGGAGAAUGCUUUAAACUGAUUUUUAAACAUAUAAUAGAUAAUCUAUAAAGGGAUUAAUAAUUAACCUGGCAAAGCUUGCUAAGUUUUAUUUUUCUUAUGACAGAGUAAGAGAGUAAAAUUAGUUUAGCGAAACUAACCUUCUGCACUUUUAGUACUUUCUUGAAAGGUGGUUUUACACUGUGCAAAGUGUUAUGGUACACACAUUUUUAAUCUGAGAUGAUCCACUUGUGGCUCAGAGACAAACAAGUGUUUAUUGAAUUAAACAAAGGACACUGGGGGAAAGCUCAAAAAAACAGGACCAAAAGAAAAACAGGAAAAAAAAACAUAGAUUAACUCUUAGAACAUGACAAACACAAAAUGCGUUGAUUUUCUCACCCAUUCAUUUGUAGUUAUACUUUGGAUAGGUAUAACGCACAGAAAUAAAUCGCAACAUUGUGCGCUAAAGUAUUCCAGAAUAAUGUUGUGCACAAUGAGGCAUAUAUUUUAAACGUUCUCUGCCAAAAUGCACCCAUAAUCCAUGAAACAUCAAUAUUAUUCACAUUAGAUGGAAAACAAAGUGCAUAUUCACUUCUGGAAUGAUCCACAUACUACUCUUCUGGGGGAAAAAUAUAAAUUUAAUAAUUUACAGCGGGUAAAAUAAGUAUUGAACGCAUCAACAUUUUUCUCAGUAAAUAUAUUUCUAAAGGAUCUAUUGACAUGAAAUUUACACCAGGGGGGUAUUCUCCGUACGUCGCUUAAAUCAUCGAAGAUCAGAAGCUUCAUCUUGGAUCAAUUAAUGCCGGUGAAAAUCAUCCGGUUAAUUUGGUUCCUGAAACGCACUUCACGAGUACAGUAGAUUAGCUUAGCUGGAUCCAAUCAUCCGAGAUGAUUGCGCUGCUCGAAAAGCCUAUGUACAUCGAGUCUAGAAAACAUGAUCGGCAAGUCUCUCAUUGGCUCCUGCAACAUGACGAAAGAAAGGGCACAAUUCUCCUCCCAAAGCGAGCAGGACCUUAUACUGGAGGGAUAUGAGGAGUUCAAAAACUUAAUUAGCACCAAAGGAAACACCACAAAAAGCGGCACAAACCAGAUAAGACGGCUGGCAAAAAGUGGCCGACAAAUUAAAUGCGUGAGUAGUUUGCAAUUAUUGUAUUACUGGCAAUUAUCAUAUUCCUUGAAUGCAGCGUUACUGGUCCAAUGUCUCACAUGAAUCAUCAUUUAAUCGUUAUAAUUCCAGAUCAAACAUAAGCACGAUCAGGACAGGGGAACAAGUUAAAGUGAAGUACAAAAAUAUACUUCAAACUGGUAAAUAUGACAUCUCAUAAAGUGUGUGUGUGUAUGCAUAAUGAUAUACACAUACUCUAAUAAUUAGAUAGAUGUGUGUAUCCAUCUAUGUAUAUUGAUGUGUAAAAAGAAAAAAUUCCUGACAAAGCGGAAAAAAAGAAGGCAGACAAAAAAAAAUUGGUGGAGGUCCGUCCAGACCUAACCCCCGCUGAAGAGCUGGCUCUCCAGCAGAAUGCCCAUCACCCUGUGUCUCAGGGAAUUGAAGGGGGAAGCUCCUCGUCGGAGCCAGUGGCAGGAUGCAGCAGCGGUUACUUCAUUUCAGGUACAGGAUGACCAUUGCAUAUAUUUGUGGUCUGCAGGUGCCAUAGGUGCAGUCACAGAGGACCUGUGGUACAAUUUCCAUAUAUGUUUUUUUUUCCCCUGGGUGGUUAUUUUCUAUUAACAAUAUAUAUAUUAAUUUUCAAUGUUUCAAUAUGAUAUAUCUUUUUUUCUUUGCUGGGUCAGUUGCAGGGAAUGUCAUAACCCUUGAACCUGUGUCUGACCAAUGAGACAUUGACCCAUGUGAUGUAGUUGAUGAAGACAGUGUCUGACCAUUCAUCAGGGGAAGAGGAGCCCAGUGCCAGCACACAUGUCCCUUCUGGAACACGAUUCACAUCAAGAAGAGGAGAUGGUGAGAAAAACGUACGUGUUUUGUACAAGAGAU